rnacentral:rRNA from 1 species
UACGAAGGGGGCUAGCGUUGUUCGGAAUUACUGGGCGUAAAGCGCACGUAGGCGGAUCGAUCAGUCAGGGGUGAAAUCCCACGGCUCAACCGUGGAACUGCUUGGUAUACUGCGGGUCUUGAGCCACCUAGGGGCAAGCGGAACAAGCGGUGGAGCGGUGAAAUGCGUAGAUAUCGCUUGGAACGCCAAUGGUGAAAACAGCUUGCUGGGGGUGUGCUGACGCUGAGACACGAAAGCCAGGGGAGCAAACGGG